rnacentral:rRNA from 1 species
GAUGAACGCUGGCGGCGUGCCUAAUACAUGCAAGUCGAGCGAACAGAUGAGGAGCUUGCUCCUCUGACGUUAGCGGCGGACGGGUGAGUAACACGUGGAUAACCUACCUAUAAGACUGGGAUAACUUCGGGAAACCGGAGCUAAUACCGGAUAAUAUAUUGAACCGCAUGGUUCAAUAGUGAAAGACGGUUUUGCUGUCACUUAUAGAUGGAUCCGCGCCGCAUUAGCUAGUUGGUAAGGUAACGGCUUACCAAGGCAACGAUGCGUAGCCGACCUGAGAGGGGGAGGGGCAACCAGGGAACAGAGACACGGUCAAGACGACGACGGGAGGGAGCAGCAGGGAAUGGUCGAUAAUGGGCGAAAGAGUGAAGAAGCAAGGUCGCAGGGAGGAUGAAGUUUUUAGGACCGUAAACCUCUGUUAUUAGGGAAGAACAAAUAAGUAAGUACCAAUGCACGGCUUGACGGGACCUAAUCAGAAAGCCACCGCUAGCUACGUG